rnacentral:rRNA from 1 species
AUACGGAGGGUCCGAGCGUUAUCCGGAAUCAUGGGGUUUAAAGGGUCCGUAGGCGGGAAUCUAAGUCAGUGGUGAAAUCUUGCAGCUCAACUGUAAAAUUGCCAUUGAUACUGGAUUUCUUGAAUUAGUGUGAAGUGGUUAGAAUGUGUAGUGUAGCGGUGAAAUGCAUAGAUAUUACACAGAAUACCAAUUGCGAAGGCAGAUCACUAACACUAUAUUGACGCUAAGGGACGAAAGCGUGGGGAGCGAACAGGAUUAGAUACGCCGGUAGUCC